UCACAGUGCAAUCUGUUAAAC
rnacentral:piRNA from 1 species